GAUGAACGCUGGCGGCGUGCCUAAUACAUGCAAGUCGAGCGAACAGACGAGGAGCUUGCUCCUCUGACGUUAGCGGCGGACGGGUGAGUAACACGUGGAUAACCUACCUAUAAGACUGGGAUAACUUCGGGAAACCGGAGCUAAUACCGGAUAAUAUAUUGAACCGCAUGGUUCAAUAGUGAAAGACGGUUUUGCUGUCACUUAUAGAUGGAUCCGCGCCGCAUUAGCUAGUUGGUAGGGUAACGGCUUACCAAGGCAACGAUGCGUAGCCGACCUGAGAGGAUGAUCGGCCACACUGGAACUGAGACACGGUCCAGACUCCUACGGGAGGCAGCAGUAGGGAAUGUUCGGCAAUGGGCGAAAGCCUGACGGAGCAACGCCGCGUGAGUGAUGAAGGUCUUCGGAUCGUAAAGCUCUGUUAUUAGGGAGGAACAGAUGUGUAAGUAACUAUGCACGUCUUGACGGUACCUAAUCAAAAAGCCACGGCUAACUACGUG
rnacentral:rRNA from 1 species